GUUCUCUAUCAAGCAUUUUCACCAAGAAAGAGUAUAAUCCACAGGCAGGCUGUUCAGGUCGAUGUUCUUUGUCCGGCCUGUAAAUCUAGUUCAUUGCUCCAAUUGAAGCCAAUGCAAAUAGAAAUAACGCACACAGUGAACACUGAUCAAUUCAUUCCAGAAAAACCGAGGCCGAGGCCAUACAGUCUGGGGCGCAUCGUAUCUUUAACAUCUUACACGGGUCGUAAGAGAUUUAAUUUUAUUCGGCUGCUGCAGAGGAAGUAUGCCGCACAAACUGAAGAUGGCCGAAGUUCAUUGAGGAGCUCAGAUCUGGUCCAAGAUCACCUCCGCACCAGAAACCUUAAAGUCGGACGGUGCUUCCUCAACAUUGAAAGACUUG
rnacentral:misc_RNA from 1 species